rnacentral:lncRNA from 1 species
UUUUUUCUUAUUUUUCUGGGCAAGUCUUUAUUUCUGCUUCAUGUUUGGAGGAUAUUUUUACUGGAUCUCUUCUAGGGUAAAAGUUUUCUUUUCUUUUAGCACUUUAAAUAUGUCAUGAACCUCUCUUUUGGCCUAUAAGAUUUCCACUGAAAAUCUGAUGCCAGAUGUAUUGGAGCUCCUUUGUGUUAUUUGUUUCUUUUGUCUUGCUGCUUUUAGGAUCCUUUCUUUAUCCUUGACCUUUGGGAAUUUAAUUAUUAAAUGCCUUGAGGUACUUUUUGGGGGUUAUCUGCUUAGUGUUCUAUAACCUUCCUAUACAUGGAUAUUGAUAUCUUUCUCUAGGUUUUGGAAGCUCUCUGUUAUUACCCCUUUCAACGGUUUUUCGACACCUACCUCUUUCUCUACCUGUUCUUUAGGGCCAAUAACUUUUACAUUUGCCCAUUUUAUGCUAUUUUUUAGAUCAUUUCAGUUUCUAGAGCUUGCUUCAUUUUUUUUUAUUCUUAUUUCUUUUGUCUCCUCCAACUGUGUAUUCCCCUAUAGCCUGUCUUCAAGCUCGCUAAUUCCUUCUUUUGCUUGAUCAAUUCUGCUAUUAAAGGACUUUGAUGCAUUCUUCAGUAUGCUGAUUGCAUUUUUCAACUCCAGAAUUUUUGCUUGAUUUUAAAACCUUAUUUCAAUGACAUUGUUAAAUUUUUCUGGUAUAAUUCUGAAUUCCUUCUCUGUGUAAUCUUGAAUUUCUUUUAGUUUCCUUAAAAUAGCUAUUUUAAAUUAUCUAUCUAAAAUGUCACAUAUCUCUGUUUCACCAAGAUUGGUCCCUGGUACCUCAUUUAUUUCAUUUGCUGAGGUCAUAUUUUCCUGGAUAGUCUUGGUACUUAUGAGUGUUCGUCUGUGACUGACCAUUGAAGAGUUAGGUAUUUAUUGUAGUCUUCUCAUUCUGAGCUUGUUUUUAUCCAUCCUUCUUGAGAAGGCUUUUUAGGUAUUCAAAAGGACUUGGGUGUUGUCAUCUAAGUCUGCUUUAGGGGGCACCCCAAGCCCCGUAAUGCUGGGCUGUGCAGAUUCAUAGAGGCACUGCCUUGAUGGUCUUUGACAAGAUCCAGAAGAAAUAUCUGAAUUACCAGGCAGAGACUCUUGUUCUCUUCCCUGACUUUCUCCCAAAUAAAUGAAGUCUUUGUUUUAAGCCACCUGAAUCUGGAUUAGUGGUGACACAAGCACUUCUGUGGCCACCAUCAUUGGGUAUGUCCUAUGUCAGACCUGAAGCCAGCAGAGCACUGGGUCCCAUCCAAGGCUCACUGAAACCACUGCCUGGCUACCACCUAUGUUUGCUGAAAGCACUGAGGUUCUACAUUUAGUAGGUGGCAGUGCCAGCCAAGCUUGUGUCUUGCCCUUCAUGGUAGCAAAUUACCCCAGGCUCCUGGUGCACCCAGAGGUACCAUCUGGAAAGCAGGGACUAGAGUCAGCAUUAGCUGAGUUCAAUCCGAUUUUGCUUUCUGCUGUGACAGGGGAGCACUGGUUUCAAUGAAGUGUCUCACAAUUGCUGCACUCUCCCUCUCCCCAAAGCACUGAUUCUCUCUCUGUGCCAUGGGUCCGCUGCCAGGAGAUAGUGGAGGAGUGGUGUUAGCAAUUCAAGACUGUCUUUUCUGUCCUCUUCAAUGCCUUUUUCAGUGAUGUGAAGUCAAAACUAGGUGCUAUAAGUGCUCACUUGAUUUUUGAUUCAUACAAAUUUGAUUGUUUUGUGUAGAUAGUUGUUAAAUUGGUGUCCUUACAGGGACGGGGCAAUCACUGCAUCCUUCUAUUCAGCCAUCUUGCUCUGCUCCUUUUAAAUUCUUUUUACUUGGACUGGACUCUUUACCAAUCUUCAAAAAAGUAUAUAAUAACCACCUGUCCUACUGUUCUUUCAAAAUGUCAACUUUAUUACAUAAUUCAAUUUCUACUAUAAACAUAUUUACAUCUAUCAUUUUAUUUUCUAAUUAUGGAUGGGACAAUGAUUCAUUCCUUUGUACCCACUUUUACUUCUGAUUGUUGUGAUCUAUUCUUCAUAUCAUAUUAUGAAAUCUGUUUUUGGUAAAAACGCAUUUUUUUUGUAACACUCCUGACAGGAACACUAUCUUCCUAUUCAGAACUUCUGUAAUUCCUUGAGCUGAAAAUAUGUGUCCAUGUCUCUUUCUCUUUACAAUGGAAAUACCUUGAGAACAGAUACACAUCCAUCAUUGUUUCUGCUUCAUCCUUUAAAAUAAUAUAUGCUCAUUUAACCCUGACCUCUCUAUAGCAAGGUUAAAGUAAUGUUUUAUUAAAGCAUAUAGAAUUUAUUUAUUGUAGGAGUUCAUGUCUUCUCACUCCAAGUUAAAAAUUAACCCCAGCUAUAAAAAUUAUCACUUGUGGUCUUCUGUUCCUAAAUAAAAUGCGUAUUAACUCUCUCAGCACCCAGAGCAGAGAUGCCUAUCAAGCAGCAUAUUUACCGAAUAGUUGUUGCAUUUAAAUGAAGGUUUGCAUUUCUAAACAAUUUAUUUCUGUCUCAUUCUAACCUAAUCAUGUAAUUAAAUGUUUUUCUUUCCAUUUUUGUUUCUGUAAAAACAGCUUAAUCUUAUCAUAUUGAAAAGGACAAUGCCCCCAAAUAAAUAGCCUUCUUAGAGUUCUCAAACAGCGUGUGGGAUUAAAAGAUGAAAGUUCUUGGUUUCAAACAUCUGACUUGCUUUUUCAGGGUCUAGAUCUUGAAGAUUCAGUGCUUGAAUUCCUCAGACAGAAGUUCUUAUUCAGAAUGACUUGCUAUUUCAUUUCCAUGUGUAUGCUUUGAGGCCACUUGUCUAAAAAAGGAUAAUUUUUUUUGCCAUUUGUAAAACUAAAUCUUAGAUAAGAGCCAAGAAAGAUACAUGCUGGGAUUCAUACCCUAAGGGAACCACAGUGGAAGAGUGAAUGCCUGUGAAUGCCUCUGAAAGCCAAAAGUUUGAGGAAAAGUUGUGAAGAGAGGAGCAGUCUUCAUGCUCUGCCUCAUUACUGCCAGGUAGAACUAAAAGUUCAGAUUCUCCGUUUGCCCAUUUGGCCUCCAUUGAGAUCCAAGGGUUUUGGCUCCUUAAAUAAGGUGAGGGUGACAAUCUGGAUCCCCA